UACGAAGGGGGCUAGCGUUGUUCGGAAUUACUGGGCGUAAAGGGCGCGCAGGCGGCCUAUCAAGUCAGAUGUGAAAGCCCCGGGCUCAACCUGGGAACUGCAUUUGAGACUGAUGGGCUUGAGUUCGGGAGAGGAGAGCGGAAUUCCCAGUGUAGAGGUGAAAUUCGUAGAUAUUGGGAAGAACACCAGUGGCGAAGGCGGCUCACUGGCCCGGUACUGACGCUGAGGUGCGAAAGCGUGGGGAGCAAACAGG
rnacentral:rRNA from 1 species